rnacentral:rRNA from 1 species
GACGAACGCUGGCGGCGUGCCUAAUACAUGCAAGUCGAGCGAAGUUUUUCUGGUGCUUGCACUAGAAAAACUUAGCGGCGCACGGGUGAGUAACACGUAAAGAACCUGCCUCAUAGACUGGGACAACUAUUGGAAACGAUAGCUAAUACCGGAUCACAGUAUUUCUCGCAUGGGAGAUGUUUAAAAGUUGGUUAUGCUAACACUAUGAGAUGGCUUUGCGGUGCAUUAGCUAGUUGGUGGGGUAAAGGCCCACCAAGGCGACGAUGCAUAGCCGACCUGAGAGGGUGAUCGGCCACACUGGAACUGAGACACGGCCCAGACUCCUACGGGAGGCAGCAGUAGGGAAUCUUCCGCAAAGGGCGAAAGCCUGACGGAGCAACGCCGCGUGAGUGAAGAAGGAUUUCGGUUCGUAAAGCUCUGUUGUUAGGGAAGAAUGGAUGUGUAGUAACUAUACAUGUAAGAGACGGUACCUAACCAGAAAGCCACGGCUAACUACGUG